CGAAAUCUCAAACCAAGCUUUUCUUGACUUCGGUCGAAGGCUCGGGUUUGGACCGUUGGGAGUCUGCGGGCGACGCAUGUCGUCGGCUCUCCUGAAAUGCAUUAGCGGUGGGCAUGCAAGUCUUGCUUGGCACCAGCCUCUCCCGGCGUCAUAGUGAUCGUCGCGGGCUGUCCAGCUGCAAGGG
rnacentral:rRNA from 1 species